GGAGAAUGGCGUGAACCCGGGAGGCGCAGCUUGCAGUGAGCCGAGAUGGUGCCACUGCACUCCAGCCUUGGCAACAGAGUGAGACUCCAUCUCCAAAAAGAAAAACAAACAAACAAACAAAAAACCAAUUCGACACCAAAUUUUGGAACUUAAAAAGAAGAUUCUUAAAACUUACAAUCCAGAUUACGAUGAGGACCUGGUGCAGGAAGCUUCAUCUGAAGAUGUCCUGGGCGUUCAUAUGGUGGACAAAGACACAGAGAGAGACAUUGAGAUGAAACGGCAACUACGGCGACUACGGGAGCUCCACCUAUACAGCACAUGGAAGAAGUACCAAGAGGCGAUGAAGACAUCCUUGGGAGUUCCACAAUGUGAGCGUGACGAAGGCUCCUUGGGCAAGCCAUUGUGUCCACCCGAGAUACUCUCGGAGACGUUGCCAGGCUCUGUGAAGAAAAGGGUAUGCUUUCCAUCAGAAGAUCAUCUAGAGGAGUUUAUAGCAGAACAUCUCCCUGAAGCAUCCAAUCAGAGUCUCCUCACUGUUGCCCAUGCAGACACAGGCAUCCAAACCAACGGUGACCUGGAAGACCUGGAGGAGCAUGGGCCAGGGCAGACAGUCUCUGAGGAAGCCACAGAAGUUCACAUGAUGGAGGGGGACCCAGACACACUGGCCGAACUUCUGAUCAGGGAUGUACUUCAGGAGCUGUCCAGUUACAACGGCGAGGAGGAGGACCCAGAGGAGGUGAAGACAUCCUUGGGAGUUCCACAACGUGGUGACCUGGAAGACCUGGAGGAGCAUGUGCCAGGGCAGACAGUCUCUGAGGAAGCCACAGGGGUUCACAUGAUGCAGGUGGACCCAGCCACACUGGCAAAGCAAUUGGAAGACUCCACCAUUACAGGCAGCCACCAGCAGAUGUCAGCAAGUCCUUCCUCUGCACCUGCAGAAGAAGCAACAGAAAAGACCAAAGUGGAAGAGGAAGUGAAAACCAGAAAGCCCAAGAAGAAAACCAGGAAGCCCAGCAAGAAAAGCCGGUGGAAUGUCCUGAAAUGUUGGGACAUUUUUAAUAUAUUUUAGAGACCUCUGAAGAUUCCUCGACCACCAGGAAGGGCCCCGACGUGGGGAUGUCAACAUGGCUCAGACUUGAUGUGGAUCGUGAUCAUUUCGGGAAAUGUGUUACUCCAAAAACUUUUAUAAUCUUUGCUUAAUUUGUUUUUAAAUACUUUCCUGGCUGGGCGUGGUGGCUUAUGCCUGUAAUCCCAGCACUUUGGGAGGCCGAGGCGGGUGGAUCACCUGAGGUCAGGAGUUAAAGACCAGCCUGGCCAACAAGGUGAAACCCCGUCUCUACUAAAAAUACAAAAAUUAGCUAGGCGUGGUGGCGCACUCUUGUAGUCCCAGCUAUUUGGGAGGCUGAGGCAGGAGAAUCACUUGACCUCAGGAGGCGGAGGUUGCAGUGAGCCGAGAUCAUGCCACUGCACCCCAGCACCUGGCUACAGAGUGAGACUUUGUCUCAAAAAAAAAAAAAAAAGAACAAAAAAAUUCUGACUUUAACCUCUGUUUUUCAGAGGGCACAAAUUGUUCUUGUAUUGUUUCCAUUUUACAUUUUUUUCUUGAAGUUAUUUUCCAAUUGUUUUCAUUCUUUCUGAAGUUUUGUUUACUCGGUUUUAAGUUUUUGUAAUUUUGAUAGACUUUUGUGCUUUCAUUUUCUUAAUGACUUUUACCUCAUUUUUAAAACAAAUCCAUAGUAUGGAUGAUAUUGAUGAUGAAAUGUCUUACGAUGAUCAUUUAGAGGUUUAUUUUGAACAACUGGCAAUUCCAGGAAUGAUGGAAUAAAGCAUACGAAGUAGAAGGACUGGAACCUCCAGAAAAAGUACUUUAAGUUACCUACAGGUGAUCCUAGUCAGGCAAAUGAAAACAGUAGCCUAAAGUGUCAGUUUCAACCAGAAAAUAACAGCUCUGAUUUCUCAUGGCUCAUACUCGUCUGAAACGACUCAGGUAGAGGCUGAGGAAGGCCGUGUUGUUUGUCUACCUGGGACUACACCUACUGAAAGAAGUUCUCAAGUUCUGAUUGAGUUCUAAAAUUUUUUGAAGAUUGGAAUUCUUCAUAUGUAAAAAGAGAAGAGAAAGACAUUCUUGAUUUUGGUGACUAGAGUUGUAGAUGCUGGAAGCUUUGCCACUAACAUUGAUGAACCAGAUGCAUGUCACCAGCCCAUCACGGUGAUUCUUAAUGCCGGCACCAUGGGCCCGGCACUGCCACGUUUUCCAAGGAACCUGCCGGAGCUCCUGCGGAAGCUGCUCCUCAGGCGAUGGAGUCCCUUCGCUGGUAGGCCCUUCUUCAGUCACCACAGGAUGCCUGCCAUUCAUGAACAAGAAGGAGAGGACGGGCUUUGAAUAAAAAACAGGAUCCAGGAAAUAUUUGUGAGGCCAUUUGGACUUCAGUGUGAAAUGGUGUUAAAAGAUGAAGUCAUUUAUUCAAGAAGUAAACCUCUGCCACCUGGACUGUGCGCAGACAUUUCAUUGAUUUUGUUUAAUAAACAUUUUCUGGCUUUGGGAGGUGUCUCUCUUGGUAGAACACAGUGUCAAAGAUGGACAAGAUGGACACAUAGUCCAUUAUUUGGUAUUGUUUGUGUAUGGGAGCAGACCACAAAUUAAUGUUUGGAGAACAAUUUUGUCAUAACACACUGUUGAGGCUCAGUUGUACAGAACUGGAAAAGUCUUCAGCUUGGCACAUGUCCUGAUUCAGCCUUUGUUUAACAUAUAUUCCAAUCCGGAUUCUAUCUUCACUGGCUACAAAGACCACCUGAUACGUGCACCACGACACAGGAGCUGCUGGAGAGGGGGUAGUGUUAUCACCUCAAACCCACAGCCAUAUUUUUCAAAAGCCAGCUUAGAGAGAGGUGUACUGAUAGCUGCAUAGAGAACAUGCAGUCCAUCCAUUCUUCCCAGUGAUGUACAUUUCUCAAUCAGUAACCACGUGGUAUACCAGCCUUGAGUGUCACAUCUCCCAACCAUACCAAAUGGAUCACCUAACUGGAGGUGGGGGGGGCCCUCAGAAAUGAGAUUUCGUAUUUACUGUAAAAUUGCCUUAUUUUUUCUUUUGAGGUGGAGUCUCACUCUGUUGCCUGGGCUGGAGUGCAAUGGUGUGAUCACUGCUCACUGCAACCUCCGCCUCCUGGGUUCAAGCAGUUCUCCUGCCUCAGCCUCCCAAGUAGCUGCAAUUACAGGUGCAUGCCACCACUCCCAGCAAAUUUUUAUAUUUUUAGUGGAGACAGGGUUUCACCAUGUUGACCAGGCUGGUCUCAAACUCCUGACCUCAGGUGAUCUGCCCACCUUGGCCUCCCAAAGUUCUGGGAUUAAAGGUACGAGCCACCGCAACUGGCUGAGAAUCUUUUUAUUUGCUGAUUUGUCUCUUGUGUAUUUUCUUUGUUCAGAUGUCUCUUCAGAUCUUUUUCUCACUUUUAAAUUGUUUUUUAAUUGUUAAGAAUUUUCUGUCUAGUUUAGAUAUAAGCCCUUUAUCAGACAUGUGUUUUGCAAAUAUUUUCUCCUAGUCUGUGGCUUGUAUUCUGUCUCUUAACACUCAUUUUAUUUUUACUUUUGGAACUAAAGAAGAAGAAUGGUCAGCUUUCCAUUAUUCUUGUAACAGUAAUGGCAGAACCAAGUCUGCUAAUGCUACACUGAGCAAAGAAAGUCACCUGGUGAAGUCCAACAUUAAUGAAAUGGGGUAGUACAUGCAGGCAGCGUUGGGGGUGGGGAGGGAACAAAUGCUUCUUGAGAGUAAUAUAAUCUGCCAUACCAUCCAGGAACCUACAAUGGCUAUCUAUUACCUUAUUCUCUGGUUUGUUUAAUGUUCGAAUCUUUCCGAAAGAUCCUUCAACCUUUCUGGAAGAAUCUAAUCUGAUAACACCAUCAAAAACACAUUACUUCUUUUGGCAUAAUUUAAAUUGUAAGACAUCAUUCACAUUUAUCAAUGUUACAUAUAUAAGAACUCACCCACCAUAUUCUUCCUUGAGGAAUUACAGCAUGUAAUUCUAUAAUCAUUUUUAUAAUCGUCUAACAAUUUUAUAAUGGAUUGGUUGCUUACUAUCAAUUUUUUAAAAGUCAUGGCUUCUCCAGUCAUUUCUUGCUUAUCGAAAUUAUUUCAUGAGAUGGGUCUCUCCUUGUAUAUUUGAAAAUGAGGUUUGCUUCCUUCUACUUAAAAAACAACUUGAACAUACCUGUUUGGAUCACAUGGUCUUGUCCUGAUAACUUGGAAGAGGUUGCUUCAGCAUUGUUCUUAUUGUUGUGGUGGUUAUUAUUAAUAUUGUUUCAUAUUCUGUUUAAAAAAUUAAAAUUUUACACAAGACCAAUGUCUUCUUUUCAAUUCCAGUACAUUUUUCAGAAGUAACUAAUGCUAUUGGCUUUGUGCAUUGUAAUUUCAGACCAUUUUAUAUGUCUUUAGUUAUAUGUACAGUAUACACACAUAUGUGUCAUAUUAUUCCAUUUUUUCUAGCAUUAAACAUUGCUAUGGAAAACUCUCGGAAAAAUAUUUAUUUGAACAGAACUUUUUCUUUUCUCAGAUGUACCCUCCUUAGGAAUCUUUCUUUGAUCCUUGAAGUUUGGUAACAACUUUAAAUAUGUGUAUCCCAGCUGGGAGCAGCGGCUCACACCUGUAAUUUCAGCACUUUGGGAGGCCGAGGAGGGUGGAUCACCUGAGGUCAGGAGUUUGCCUGGCCAACAUGGUGAAACCCCGUCUUUACUGAAAAUACAAAAAGUUAGCCAGGUGUGGUGGCUGGCACCUGUAAUCCCAGCUACAUGGGAGGCUGAGGCAGGAGAAUCGCUUGAACCUAUAGAGACAAGGUUUCACCAUGUUGACCAGGCUGGUCUCGAACUCCUGACCUCAGGUGAUCCACCCACCUCAGCCUCCCAAAAUGCUGGGAUUACAGGCAUGAGCCAUUGCACCCAGCCAUACAGGAGCAAGUUUAAAAAUUAAAUAUUUAUUUGAAUAACAAGCUUACAUUGGAGCUGCAAUGUUGGCAAUCCAGAUUUUGAACACGGAUCACAAAAAGCAUGCAUAAAAUCCUACUGGCCCAGAGAACAAAACACUGCUCAGAAUUAAGCGAAAUAGCUGCUACUGUUAAGAAAACAGGCCUGAAAUCAAUAUACAAGAUUUUAAAAAAUGUAUUGGCCGGAUGCAGUGGCUCAUUCCUGUAAUUCCAGAACUUUGGGAGGCCAAGACAGGAGAAUCACCUGAGGUCAGGAGUUCAAGACCAGCCUGGCCAACAUGGUGAAACUCCAUCUCUACUAAAAAUAAAAAAUUAGCUGGGUGUGGUGACACAUGCCUGUAGUCCCAGCUACCUGGGAGGCUGAGGCAGAAUAAUUUCUCGAACCCAGGAGGAGGAGGUUUGCAAUGGCAUGAUCUCUGCUCACCGCAACCUCCGCCUCCCGGGUUCAAGCAAUUCUCCUACUUCAGCCUCCCGAGUAGCUGGGAUUACAGGCAUGUGCCACCAUGCCUGGCUACUUUUCUGUAUUUUUAGUAGAGACAGAGUUUCUCCAUGUUGGUCAGGCUGGUCUUGAACUCACAACCUCCGGUGAUCUGCCUGCCUCGGCCUCCCAUAGUGCUGGGAUUACAGGCAUGAGCCACCAUGCCUGCCCAUGAAAGCACUUUUAAAAAGAGAGCACCUCUGCUGCCUGGUCAUAUUCUGUACCUGUUCCCAAACCCUGAAACCAGUGAUGUCAAUGGCUGCGUGGGCAUUGAACGUGUACAUGAUUCCUGCAGCUUUCCUGUUGACCUGGACCAUGUUCAUCAAUGCUUUUUGGUACAUUAAUUCUACAUCUUCUUCGGUGACCACAGUUUAUGUUUAUUUCAUUUUUCAGGAAUAUCCAGCCACUGGUGCACAGCCAUUGCCACUUGUGCCCCCAGGGGAUCUUGUCAACUCCAGUAUGUCCCCCCAGCACUGUGUUAUCUGGCAUAAUAAAUGUAGUUGGGCUGUAGUUGUAGUGACUCCUCCCAAAACAACCCAGGAGUUUAAUACUGUUUGGCCACCGGUUACAGACAUUGCUGCCCCUUCCGCUGCGGCUUUAAAAGCCUAUCUAAUCGGCUGGGUGUGAUGGUGGCUCAGACCUAUAAUCCCAGCACUUUGGGAGUCCAAGGUGGGUGGAUCACCUGAGGUCAGGAGUUUGAGACCGGCCUGGCCAACAUGGUGAAACCCCAUCUCUACUAAAAAUACAGCAAAUUAGCUGGGCGUGGUGGCGCAUGACUGUAAUCCCAGCUACUCGGGAGGCUGAGGUAGGAGAAUUGCUUGGGUGGCAGAGUAAGACUCCGUCCCAAAAAAAAAAGUUAUCUAAUCAGGGACGUCACCUUUCCCUGCCAGUCAUUUUGUUACCAAUGAAAGAAAACAUAUUCAAAUCAAUUUUUAGUUCAGAAAAUGUUUCUUUCAUUGUAUCUUUGAAUUUUAUUGUUCUGCAUUUUUUACUUCAAAAACACCUACUAUAUGCAUUUUUUCUCUCGUUUCCUUUUUUUUCCAAGAAAUGUUUUUGUCCUUUUGAUUUUUUCACUGACCAUUACCAUUAUUUAUAUACCAUGUACCUGGAGAGUUUCCAAUGUUUCUCUUUGGUCUGAGAUACUUGCUAUGAUUUUCACUUUUUAAAUGCUCUUUUGAGAUUUGUUUUGUGGCCUAAAAUGUGGUCUAUCCUGGAGAAUGUUCUGUGAGCUGAUGAGAAGAAUGCACGUUCUGCAGUUGGUGGGUGAAAUGUUCUGUAAUUACCUGUGAGGUCCCUUUGACUUCUCUUGGAGUCAGUCUGGUCUGUUACUUUUCUGCCUAGAGGGUGUGUCUGUUGCUGAAAGUGGGUGUUGGAGUCCCCAGCUAUUAUUGUCUGUCUCUGUCUGUUGCUCGAAUAACUCUUACUUUAAUAACUGGGGCUCCUGUGUCAGGUGUGUUUACAUUGACAACUGUCCUACCUUCUUGCUGAAUUGAUCUCUUUAUCGUUUUAUAAUGACCUUUAUUUUCUAUUUUUGUGCUUUUUUGACUUAAAGCCUACUUUGUGUGACAAGCAUAGCUAUACAUACUCACUUUUGGUAACACUUUUCAUUUCUUAUCAUCUUCAUUGAAUCUCACUUCUUCACAUUUACCAAAAUGUCUACUUUUGAGCUGUGGCACCUCUUUGAAUCUUCAGAUCCACCACAUGCUGAUCAAGCCUUCCUUUUUGUCUGUACUCUGAGGAAUCCCAAACAGGCAUUUUUGCAAGAAAGUCUAGGAGGGAAACAUAAAUCUAUGUGUCAAAAAAAUGAACAUAGAAAAUAAUGUGUCCUGGUUAACAAAAGUUCUCAUUGUAAAGUGUUAGGCACAAGACUAUGGAAUUUCAUGUGCCAUAAAUAAAAUUGUCUUGAUUUGUCUAAAACUACAUUUUGUCUAAAACUACUUUUAAAAAUUACAUGUUACUCUAAUA
rnacentral:lncRNA from 1 species